GGGCGGUUAGCUCAGCGGCAGAGCGUUCGCCUCACACGCGAAAGGUCAUAGGUUCAAUCCCUAUACCGCCCA
rnacentral:tRNA from 2 species